GUCUUGAUAGUAUAAGCAUUACCCUGGUCUUGUAAACCUGAAAUGAAGAAUUACUCUUCUCAAGACA
rnacentral:tRNA from 1 species